rfam:Sarcophilus harrisii ctg7180002474167, whole genome shotgun sequence.
ACCAUGGAUCCAUUUGGAUCCAUUUCAAAUAAAAUAUUAAAAAUUCU